GGUUUCCUACGGGGCGCAGCAGUGGGGGAUAUUGGACAAUGGGGGGAACCCUGAUCCAGCGACGCCGCGUGAGUGAAGAAGUAUUUCGGUAUGUAAAGCUCUGUCAGCAGGGAAGAAAGCAAUGACGGUACCUGACCAAGAAGCCCCGGCUAACUACGUGCCAGCAGCCGCGGUAAUACGUAGGGGGCAAGCGUUAUCCGGAAUUGCUGGGUGUAAAGGGAGCGUAGGCGGCUGUGCAAGUCUGGAGUGAAAGGCGGGGUCCCCACCCCCGG
rnacentral:rRNA from 1 species